GGGCCUGUAGCUCAGCUUGGAUUGUAACCAAAAAGAGCAGCGACCUCCUAAGUCGAAGGUCGAGGGUUCAAAUCCCUCCAGGCCCG
rnacentral:tRNA from 1 species